GUCCCCGUGGCCUAAUUGGUUAAGGUGUCCACCUCCGGUAUUUUCCUGAUUCAAACUCAAAUUUGUUUUAGAGAGUUUAGUGGAUGAUUGCGGGUUCGAGUCCCGCCGGGGACU